UUAUGGCUCAGGAUGAACGCUAGCUACAGGCUUAACACAUGCAAGUCGAGGGGCAGCAGAUCGAAAGCUUGCUUUGAUGCUGGCGACCGGCGCACGGGUGAGCAACGCGUAUCCAACCUUCCCUGUAGUAGAGAAUAGCCCGGCGAAAGUCGGAUUAAUGCUCUAUGUUGUAUUUCGAAGACAUCUGAAGAAUACCAAAGGUUUUACCGCUAUAGGAUGGGGAUGCGUCUGAUUAGGUUGUUGGCGGGUAACGGCCCACCAAGCCCACGAUCAGUAGGGGUUCUGAGAGGAAGGUCCCCCACAUUGGAACUGAGACACGGUCCAAACUCCUACGGGAGGCAGCAGUGAGGAAUAUUGGUCAAUGGACGGAAGUCUGAACCAGCCAAAGUAGCGUGCAGGAUGACGGCCCUAUGGGUUGUAAACUGCUUUUAUAUAGGGAUAAAGUCGGGGACGUGUCCCCGUUUGUAGGUACUAUAUGAAUAAGGACCGGCUAAUUCCGUGCCAGCCGCCGC
rnacentral:rRNA from 1 species